UAUGGCCAUAUCAUGUUGAAACACCAGUUCCCAUAUAACCAAAGGUAAGCAACUUCAAGCCUGUUAAGUACUUAGAUGGGUGAUUUCUUGGAAAUAUUAAGUGCUGUAAG